ACCUACGGGGCGCAGCAGUAGGGAAUCUUCCACAAUGGACGAAAGUCUGAUGGAGCAACGCCGCGUGAGUGAAGAAGGGUUUCGGCUCGUAAAGCUCUGUUGGUAGUGAAGAAAGAUAGAGGUAGUAACUGGCCUUUAUUUGACGGUAAUUACUUAGAAAGUCACGGCUAACUACGUGCCAGCAGCCGCGGGUAUACGUAGGUGGCAAGCGUUGUCCGGAUUUUUUGGGCGUAAAGCGAGUGCAGGCGGGUUCAUAA
rnacentral:rRNA from 1 species